AACUCAUGUUUGACCUCAGAUCGUAUAAGUUUUUCGCCUUUAAUUAAAUAUUUCUGUGGGAAGGAGUGCAGUGAGUAAUAUCAAAUUUUUUAUUGUUGUUGUUGUUCUGCAU